rnacentral:rRNA from 1 species
GAUGAACGCUGGCGGCGUGCCUAAUACAUGCAAGUAGAACGCUGAAGGAAGGAGCUUGCUCUUUCCGGAUGAGUUGCGAACGGGUGAGUAACGCGUAGGUAACCUGCCUGGUAGCGGGGGAUAACUAUUGGAAACGAUAGCUGAUACCGCAUAACAGUAGAUGUUGCAUGAUAUCUACUUAAAAGGUGCAAUUGCACCACUACCAGCUGGACCUGCGUUGUAUUAGCUAGUUGGUGAGGUAACGGCUCACCAAGGCGACGAUACAUAGCCGACCUGAGAGGGUGAUCGGCCACACUGGGACUGAGACACGGCCCAGACUCCUACGGGAGGCAGCAGUAGGGAAUCUUCGGCAAUGGACGGAAGUCUGACCGAGCAACGCCGCGGGAGUGAAGAAGGGUGUCGGAUCGUAAAGCUCUGUUGUAAGAGAAGAACGAGUGUGAGAGUGGAAAGUUCACACUGUGACGGUAGCUUACCAGAAAGGGACGGCUAACUACGUG